GUAAUCCCCAGAUUGUAGUUUGUGAGAUAAAUAGUGAGCGUGAGUAAUAUUGUAGUGAAAUAUUUUAAAUAAAGAGUGUUAUUUCUUUCAAAAUUGUAGUAGUCUCUUGACACUACUAAGUUAUAAUAUUAUAAUGGUAAUAUUGUUUUGCUCGGGUAUUGUAUUUUACCCCGAUAAAAGAUUUGGUGUCGUUAUUACUCUCUUGUGUUAUUAUUAUUUGCCGUGGAUAUUAUUCCUGGGCGGAAUAUUAUUUUUCCCCAACAAAAGGAAAUAGGAUAGCUUGAGGAACCUGCUGCAAAUGACUUAAUGGGGUAUCCUCCACAGAGUUGGUAUAGAGCUUUCUCCGACACAGUGUGUAAGAAUCAAGCAGUUGACAAAAAUCUUACAGAGUUAUUCAAUGUAUGGAUACUUGAAGAUAGGUACAAACCUAUUAUUGGGAUGUUGGAGGGUAUAAGGAUCAAAUUGAUGAACAAGUUGAGAGAACAAUAAUAUUUUGUGAUACAAUGGAGUGGCCAGUUUACUUCUAAAUCCCUCAAAUUAUACACUGAAUAUUUGAAGAUAACUCAUGCUUGUAAGGUUGACAGCAAUGGAGAUAAUGGAUAUGAGAUAUCAGAAAAAAGGAAACAAACACAUUGUCAAUAUGAUCAUGAAGAGGUGUACUUGUAGGGUAUGGGACCUCACUGGAAUUUAGAGCCUUGAUGACAACAACGGUUGAUACACUAUCUGAAAUGCAUUGGUUUCAUAGCAAGGAAACAUUCUUGCUUACCUACAAACAUAAGUUGCAGCAUGUAAAGGGUGAAAAAUUCUGAAAAAUUGACCCUUCUCAAGCAAUGAAACCUCCAGAAUUAGUCAUUCAAGUUGGAAGGCCUAAGGUUAAGAUGAGGCACUUAAGAGGCAGGGAUAAUUGAGCGGUUCUAGAAAAGGUAGAGUGAUUCAUUGUGGCAAUUAUGGAGAGCCAAAUCACAAUGCCAGAGAAAAAAGAAGUAGGGAAAUGUGGGUAUCUAAAGGAAAACAGAAGCAGCCUACGAAGGGCUUACUUGAUGAAGAUGAUGAUGGUCCAGUUGAGAAAGCCAUUGAUUUAUCAGCACCAUACAGUCACAAAACUGUGACCAUACAGUGGUGUCUAUGCCAACAGAUCUUCCAUACACCCACACAACUUAACUUGGAAGGUCAAAGCUGCUAUGACCAUAAAUCAGUUGUAAGUUGAAUAUCAGAAGAGGAUUGGGAAGUUGAAGCCAAGAAAGGGACAAUAUCAAUAGUUUUAGGAAAAAUGGUUCUGGACAAUACUAUUUCUACUGCUUAUGAAAAUACUCUUUUAUUCGGUUAACUUGGUGAUGUAUUAACUGCUUAUUACAUUACUCUUUUGGUUAGGAAACUUAGUGAUGUAUUUAAUGCUUAUGGCAGUACUUUUGUCUUUAUUUUGUGUUCAAUUGAAAUGCAAAUAUCUGCAGGUUUUAUGACUUGGAUCA